rnacentral:antisense_RNA from 1 species
CGUUAUGGCGGCUGUGUGAGGGACACCCUCGGGUGUGCCGGUUGUUCCGUUUCCGGUCCGCGAACCCUUGCACAGCUGCCACCCCA